rnacentral:rRNA from 1 species
UACGUAGGCAGCGAGCGUUGUUCGGAGUUACUGGGCGUAAAGGGUGUGUAGGCGGUUCUUUAAGUUUGGUGUGAAAUCUCCCGGCUCAACCGGGAGGGUGCGCCGAAAACUGAAGGGCUAGAGUGCGGGAGAGGAGAGUGGAAUUCCUGGUGUAGCGGUGAAAUGCGUAGAUAUCAGGAGGAACACCGGUGGUGUAAACGGCUCUCUGGACCGUAACUGACGCUGAGACACGAAAGCGUGGGUAGCAAACAGG